ensembl:lncRNA
GACUGAGGUCUGGUGGGCAGGCAGGAGGCCCCGGGGAGAAUCCACUGUGGACCUCAGGCCUCACGAGGGCUGUCAUCUCCAACGCUCCCCAGCCCCGCAGCCCCGCGGCCACUGCAGUCCCCUCUGCAUGUGACGGGACAGGUUCACAGGCUCAGACCCUGCCCACCGACCCCAGACCCACGGGACAGAUGGGGUGUGGGGCAGCGUGGGCCCACGCGUGCACUGGAGCCUGGCCUGGCUGCAUGUGUGAGGACUGCACACGGGGGCUGCAGGGUUCCCCACCGACCCACAGACACAGCCCUGCAGGAGGUGAGGAUGCCACGCUCCCCUCUGGAGUGGCUUCCUAAGACCACACAUCAAGACUAGGAACCUGUUCAUUAAGAGACACUGUAAAGACCGCGGAAAGGCAAGGCUGAGCAAGUGGGAGUUUAUCGCAACACCUGUAGCCCGUGAAGAACUGGUGUGGAGCAGAUGGGGCCGUCAGCCCAGGGGCAGACACCGCGGAGAAGAGGAAACGGGAACUCAGAUAAGUCAAACUAACCAGGGACGUGCAGGCGCGCUGUGCGGCCGCAGGUGGGCGGGGCACCGGGAAGGGGUGGGGCUGGAUUCGAACUACCCCCGGGAAGCACACGGGCGCGUCUUGUGAGAGGCCCCCAACCCCCUCGGAGUCGCGGGGUCAGGAGCGGAUGUGGGAGGUCCCUGCCGUCCGCCAAGGGGGGGGUGGGUGAGGGGGUGACGGGGACAGCCGGCUGGCCACGCUGCAGCGGCCUCCUGGGAUCCGGAGUCAAAAACCCUCAGUCUUCUAGAAAACAUAGGCAUGUCGCAGAAGACGACACACAGGGAGGUCUUAAAACAGCCAUGACUGGGGUAGGGAAGGGAUUCUCACCUGUGGGUAAGCUCAGGACAGCGGGGCUGCCUUGCGGAGCUCUGUGGUCGUGGGCUUACUAACGGUUCCCACUCGCCCCCAGGGCACCUGUCCUUUGGGUGUGUCAACCACGACGUCAGGAAUCGAGGAGCCGGUCCAGGUGCCUUCCCGCGUCACCUCCACCUCCACGGUCCUUUUGGUGCCCUACCCCACUACCCACUGGCCGGCCUCCCCCUCCCUUGUCCUUAUCUGCAUUGGUCGACCUUGGCUUGACCUUGGCUUGGGGGUGUGUGGCUGGCUGGUCAGGACUGAGGCCGCCCGGGGCCCACCUGCAGCCUGAGGGGUACUCCCCGUGGCCUGCUGAAGUUCACGUUUGGGUGGACGGGAGCAUCUCUCAGCGGCAUUUAGGAGACAAUCCCUGUUGGCGGGCACAGUCGACGACCUUGGUCCGUAGGCCCCCGGCACCCGUGUCCUUGCCUGUGGGUGUGGCUGGUGGCCAUGAAGUUGUGCCUCUCGAGCUCCGGGGCCCCCAACUGGGUCCUGGGUGCUGAGUGCAGCUGGGCGCCGGCCUCUCUGUCCUUCUUGGCUGAGCUGGGCUGUUCCUCCUCUCAUCCAUCAGCCAGGAUUCCCGAGGUGCCCAACGUGUGUCAGCCCCGGGGCUGGGUGCAGGGUCUGGGGGAGAGCAAACACCAUAAACGAAUAUGCAUCAAGGGGCGAUGGCCCUGGCCGUGCGGGGUCAGGGCACGAGGUGACAGAGGGUGGUGGUCAGAGGAGGCCUGCCCAGACAGUACAGGAGGGGAGGAGAGGGUGCUGAGUGUCCCGCCCAGGAGGGUGGUCCAGGCAAAGGAAAUGGCGUGCUUAUGCUUAUGCGGGGGCUGUAUGGGGGGCAUCCGGGAGGGGGUAGGACAUGAGCUCAGAGGUGGGGUCGCAGAGGGGCAGGGGCUGCAGGCUUUUGUGCCCCAGGUCAGGAUUUCGGAGUUUCUUCUGAGCGGGGUUGGGGCACCGUUCAGGGCCAGGUCCCGUCUUCGUUCCAAAAGGCCCCGUCUGCCCCUGGCGGGAGAGCUUCUGGGGUUCAGUGAGAAGGCGGUGAGGGGUGUUGGGCUGGGCCCGUGUGGACUCUGGUGGAUUUGGGGCCUGGGAUCUGUUGCUCUCUUGGCUGUGGGGCUUGUGAGCUGGUGGCUCCUCUUUUAAGUUGUUUUUCUUCUUACCGUCUUCAUUUACAAUUCCCAAGUUUUUUCCUUCCCUUUUAGGGACAAUUUUUUAAAAUUGUGGUAAAAAACACAUAACAUUAAGUUUGCCAUCUUAACCAUUUUUUAAAAAUUGAAAUACAGUUGAUUUAUAAUACUGUGUUAGUUUUGGGUAUACAGCAAAGUGAUUCACACACACACACACACACACAUAUAUAUAUAUUUUUAUAUGUAUAUAUUUUUCUGAUUCUUUUCCAUUAUAGGUUAUUACAACAUAUUGAAUAUAGUGUCCUGUGCUGUACAGUAAAUCCUUGUUGCCUUUUAUCUAGAUUGGGGUGGUCAUUUCAUGGUUAAAUAAAUUUGUCAAAACGC